rnacentral:rRNA from 1 species
GAUGAACGCUGGCGGCGUGCCUAAUACAUGCAAGUCGAGCGAACAGAUGAGGAGCUUGCUCCUCUGACGUUAGCGGCGGACGGGUGAGUAACACGUGGAUAACCUACCUAUAAGACUGGGAUAACUUCGGGAAACCGGAGCUAAUACCGGAGAAUAUAUUGAACCGCUUGGUUCAAUAGUGAAAGACGGUUUUGCUGUCACUUAUAGAUGGAUCCGCGCCGCAUUAGCUAGUUGGUAAGGUAACGGCUUACCAAGGCAACGAUGCGUAGCCGACCUGAGAGGGUGAUCGGCCACACUGGAACUGAGACACGGUCCAGACUCCUACGGGAGGCAGCAGUAGGGAAUCUUCCGCAAUGGGCGAAAGCCUGACGGAGCAACGCCGCGUGAGUGAUGAAGGUCUUCGGAUCGUAAAACUCUGUUAUUAGGGAAGAACAAAUGUGUAAGUAACUAUGCACGUCUUGACGGUACCUAAUCAGAAAGCCACGGCUAACUACGUG